CAUUGAAGGGCUUCUUAAAUCAAUACAUGUAUCCACAGGAGUCAAAUGUUAGUUCUAAACAUUGGGUGAAAACAGAAAACAAAAGUUAUCAGUUUCUGACCAGAUAGAUUGUAUUUAAUGCAGUGCGUCGCAUUAUUGACUCUUGUAAAGCAAUCAUUACCCUAUGUGGUAGCGAUGUAAGUAGGCAGUCUGUAGAAGUUAG
rnacentral:misc_RNA from 1 species